rnacentral:rRNA from 1 species
AUGUCACGCCUUCAGGUCCGCUCUUUCUCCAGCUCCGUUUCCUCAUGCGCCAACGAGCUGCUGAACGAACUCCACGACCAUCUUGGCUUCGGGACACUCAGGCCAGAGCUCGCGCACCAACUGUUCGACGAAAUGCUGCACCAACCUGUCACAGUAUCAGUACAUGCACUCAACGACUUAUUUGCUGCCCUCGCGCGUGCGCCGGCCUCACCUGCCUGCACCGAUGGCCCUGCCCUCGCCAUUGAUCUCUUCAACCGCAUGGCCCGAGCAGGCCGUCGCCAGGUGCUAGCACCCUCCAUGUACACCUACAACAUACUAAUUGAGUGUUGCCACCGAGCAUGCCGCCCAGACCUAGGGCCUGCCUUCUUCGGCCGCCUCCUCAAGACAGGCAUCAAGACGGAUGUCGUUACCUACAGCAGCUUACUCAAGUGCCUCUGUGACAUGAAGCGAAUGGAGGACGCUUUGGGCGUGCUGCUCCACAGGAUGCCCGACGACCUGCCUAAUGUCAUCUCCUACUCAGUAAUUCUCAAGAGUUUCUGCGACAGUGGUAGGAGCCAGCUUGCACUUGACUUGCUCCGGAUGAUGGCCGAAAAAGGAUCUGACCACUCUCCCAGCGUGGUGUUAUACAGCUUGGUAAUCGAUGGCUUCUUGAAGGAGGGUGAAAUAAGCAAAGCAUGCAAUUUGCUCCCUGAAAUGAUGCAGCAGGGGGUUGUGCCUGAUGUGGUGACGUAUAACUCCUUUAUCGAUGCGCUAUGCAAAGCAAGAGCAAUGGACACGGCAGAGGUAGUUCUU